CCUACGGGAGGCAGCAGUGGGGAAUAUUGCACAAUGGGGGAAACCCUGAUGCAGCGACGCCGCGUGAGUGAGGAAGUAUUUCGGUAUGUAAAGCUCUAUCAGCAGGGAAGAAAAUGACGGUACCUGACUAAGAAGCCCCGGCUAACUACGUGCCAGCAGCCGCGGUAAUACGUAGGGGGCAAGCGUUAUCCGGAUUUACUGGGUGUAAAGGGAGCGUAGACGGUUAAUCAAGUCAGAAGUGAAAACCCGGGGCUCAACCUUGGGACUGCUUUUGAAACUGAGUAGCUAGAGUGCAGGAGAGGUAAGCGGAAUUCCUAGUGUAGCGGUGAAAUGCGUAGAUAUUAGGAGGAACACCAGUGGCGAAGGCGGCUUACUGGACUGUAACUGACGUUGAGGCUCGAAAGCGUGGGGAGCAAACAGGAUUAGAUACCCUGGUAGUC
rnacentral:rRNA from 1 species